rnacentral:rRNA from 1 species
AGCGAACGCUGGCGGCGUGCCUAACACAUGCAAGUCGAACGUGAACGGGCUUCGGCCUUAGUAAAGUGGCGUACGGGUGAGUAACGCGUAGGUAAUCUACCUUAGAGUUUGGAAUAACCUGCCGAAAGGCGGGCUAAUACCAGAUAGAGCGAUGGGAUUCGUAAUGGAAUCUUUCGGGAAAGGGAGCGGGCAACCGCCCUCGCUUUAGGAUGAGCCUGCGUCUCAUUAGCUAGUAGGUGAGGUAAUGGCUCACCUAGGCGACGAUACAUAGCCGACCUGAGAGGGUGAUCGGCCACACUGGGACUGAGACACGGCCCAGACUCCUACGGGAGGCAGCAGUAGGGAAUCUUCGGGCAAUGGGGGCAACCCUGACCGAGCAACGCCGCGUGAGUGAAGAAGGUUUUCGGAUCGUAAAGCUCUGUUGUAAGUCAAGAACGGGUGUGAGAGUGGAAAGUUCACAC